rnacentral:rRNA from 1 species
UACGAAGGGGGCUAGCGUUGCUCGGAAUCACUGGGCGUAAAGGGUGCGUAGGCGGGUCUUUAAGUCAGGGGUGAAAUCCUGGAGCUCAACUCCAGAACUGCCUUUGAUACUGAAGAUCUUGAGUUCGGGGGAGGUGAGUGGAUCUGCGAGUGUAGAGGUGAAAUUCGUAGAUAUUCGCAAGAACACCAGUGGCGAAGGCGGCUCACUGGCCCGAUACUGACGCUGAGGCACGAAAGCGUGGGGAGCAAACAGG